rnacentral:rRNA from 1 species
GACGAACGCUGGCGGCGUGCUUAACACAUGCAAGUCGAACGGAAAGGCCCUGCUUUUGUGGGGUGCUCGAGUGGCGAACGGGUGAGUAACACGUGAGUAACCUGCCCUUGACUUUGGGAUAACUUCAGGAAACUGGGGCUAAUACCGGAUAGGAGCUCCUGCUGCAUGGUGGGGGUUGGAAAGUUUCGGCGGUUGGGGAUGGACUCGCGGCUUAUCAGCUUGUUGGUGGGGUAGUGGCUUACCAAGGCUUUGACGGGUAGCCGGCUGAGAGGGUGACCGGCCACAUUGGGACUGAGAUACGGACCAGACUCCUACGGGAGGCAGCAGUGGGGAAUAUUGCACAAUGGGCGGAAGCCUGAUGCAGCAACGCCGCGUGCGGGAUGACGGCCUUAGGGUUGUAAACCGCUUUCGCCUGUGACGAAGCGUGAGUGACGGUAAUGGGUAAAGAAGCACCGGCUAACUACGUG